rnacentral:rRNA from 1 species
UUGGUGAAAUCGGUCCUCACCUCACAAGUUAUCUACCACAUCACCCCACUCACAGUCCCCCCUGGUGUGCUGCAAAGCAUCAACAAGAUUGAGCGGGCAUUUUUGUGGUCAGCUAGCGACACAACUACAGGAGCAAAAUGCAAGGUCAAUUGGGAGACAGUCUGCCGCCCUACACAGCUCGGUGGGCUUGGCAUACUCCACUUGGGGAAAUUUGCGAGAGCUCUCAGGAUGAGAUGGCCCUGGAUGGCAUGGAAGGACCCGUCUAAGUUGUGGGUUGGCCUG